CUGGCGGGGCUGGCGGGGCUGGCGGGGCUGGCGGCCUGGCCCACUCCCAGGCUGACAGGACAUCCAACCCUCUGGCUAUGGCAUCUUGGAGGAACAGGCAGGCCUUGAAAAUAGCAGAAAUUCCGAAUUCCCCUGCCCCGGGAGGACUCAAAGGACCCUGCUGAGGACAGAGCUGAUAUGGCCUCAGAAUAAAGAUGAGGGAAGACCAUCCCAAGGAAGACCCCUCUAGCCCAUGGCAAAAGGGCUGGAAUACGCAAGGAUUUGAAAAGCAAGUUUUGCUUUCCAUAUAAACCUAAGCAAGUCGCUUAAUCUGUGAGCCUCAACUACUUUACUUGUGCAAUGGGCAUGUUGCUGGUAGUGGUGAUAGCAGGGAGCCACCGAGAGAGCUUCCAAGUGUGCCAUCUAAGCCCUCCUCUGGGGAAGGGAAGCUCCUCUGGGGAAGGGAAACUGGACCCCCGGGAAAAUUUAUUCUCCCAGGGACGAACAUCCAGACAUUUCCCUGUAGGAGCCUCAGUGUGUUCAGAUGUUCACUGUCCAGUAGAAACAAGACAUCUAGGCAACUCUCCCAUCUCACCAAGCCUCUGCUCUCUUCUGUGGCCACUGUGGGGUUGUGAGAGUAAUGUCAAGACCCAACCCAAUUAGAACACAGGGAAUUUUGCCUGGGAAAGGGAGCCCUUCUACCCUACACCCCUGCUUUCUCUCUUCCAAGGAUCAGGUCUGAUUCAUGUCUGCAUCCUAAAGGCUACAAAUAAACUGUGUCCGGAAAGGAAAA
rnacentral:lncRNA from 1 species